rnacentral:misc_RNA from 1 species
GAAGAUGAUGAUGAUGAUGUGUUUGUUGAGGUAUCCGAGUCAGGUCAGGAGUCAGAUGUGGAUUGGAAUCGGAGUAAGGAGAGGAAGGAAGCAAAGAAUGUGAAGAAAAAGAAUGCAAGGAUUGGAACCCCAAGAAAAAAUGCCAAGAAACAGCACACUGAUAAGGCAAAAACUGUUGAAGGAAACAAUGACGACAAUUUGCAAGAUGGUUUAGCAACUCAAGGUGGUGUGGAAAUAUCCCAUGCUGUAACAGUUGAGUCAAGUAACAGAGGAGUCACAAGUAAGACAAGAAGGCAACGUGGGAGGGUUGCAAAACACUUCGGGAAUUUGGAUUUGAAUGUGGAGUUCAGUAAUGAGGUUGAGGAGCCUAUAAUUCAAAUGAGCCGAGAAAAUGAAGCAGGAGAGGGAGAAGAUGACACUGUUGAAGUAAUUGGGUUUUUUGAAGGUCUUGAUGAAUUCCUUAGCAGUCUUCCUAUACUCAAUGCUGUGGAUGGUGAUAAAGUAGAGGCUGCCUAGCUAAGUAAGACACUUCUUUUGUUGUAGUUGUAGCUAUAAUUUUUGUCUUCUGGAUGCUGUAGUUAAGAAUGGUGUAGAAUU